ensembl:snRNA U6 U6 spliceosomal RNA
GUGCUCUUUUCUGCAACAUAUACACUAAAUUGGAAUGAUCCAGGAAAAAUUAGCAUAGUUCUUGUGUAAGGAUGUCAUGCAAAUUCAUGAGGUAGUCCGCAUAUAA